AACGAACGCUGGCGGCAGGCCUAACACAUGCAAGUCGAACGAAGUCUUCGGACUUAGUGGCGCACGGGUGAGUAACACGUGGGAAUAUACCUUACGCUGGGGGAUAACAUCGGGAAACUGAUGCUAAUACCGCAUACGCCCUUCGGGGGAAAGAUUUAUCGGCGAAAGAUUAGCCCGCGUCCGAUUAGCUAGUUGGUGAGGUAAUGGCUCACCAAGGCUCCGAUCGGUAGCUGGUCUGAGAGGAUGACCAGCCACACUGGGACUGAGACACGGCCCAGACUCCUACGGGAGGCAGCAGUGGGGAAUAUUGGACAAUGGGCGCAAGCCUGAUCCAGCCAUGCCGCGUGAGUGGUGAAGGCCUUAGGGUUGUAAAGCUCUUUCACCCACGACGAUGAUGACGGUAGUGGGAGAAGAAGCCCCGGCUAACUUCGU
rnacentral:rRNA from 1 species